GAAAAGUUCAAGAAUGAUUCAAGGAAGAGCACGCUCUGAGCAGACUGGGGGAGACUUCAAGGAGAAAUGAAAUUUCAAAGGAACUGAAGGAAGACUGUACGCACAUUACGGGGAGAGGAGGUGGCAGGGAGCUAACCUGAAAAUAACUGGUUUACUGACAGUGAAGUGACUAUAUUUAAAAGUGUAGGGAAUAUGGUAUAUUAAUGACACAAUUUCAAUAGAAGAAGGUGGCAUUAGGGCUGGCAUGUGAAAAGUGCUGGCAAAGCCAAGAAAAAGGGAAUUAAUUGUUCAGAGUCUGGCAGGUCAUCAAGAAUGUGCAGAGGAUGGAGUUCUUGAGAAUAUGCUGGAAUGUGAAAUUAUGAGUGUUCCAGGAAAAGAAUUCCAGGACAGAAAAAGGAAAGCAAUGAAGGUAAAGCACAGGACAAAGACAUGUUAUGACUCAACUAUCAGUACCUCCCAACCCUCAUGUCUUUUUCAGCUCUCUGACCCAUGAAGAGCCCAGGACAUCUGCCCAUGGUCCCUUCCUCAUGAAGAUCUAUGUGAUUAAAUGACAUUUCAUCAUUUAUGGACACUUCCCUCUUGAACUAUGUACCACCCUGGACCUCCAAAUGUCCCCUUUUCUGAAAUCUGCCUUCCAGUAAACUGGGUUAACCACCAAAUUGUAUCUUGUUGCCUUUCUUUUUCUUACCUAUUAUAAUAAAGUUCAGUAGGAACAUUUCACUCCCAAACUUCCCAUUUCUUGCAAUACAGAUUUUCGUUCCCUUAUUUUAAAAAUGUGAACACCUCCACAUAACUCCAGAUCUGCUGUAAAUAGUCUGGCUAUUUUCCAAGUCACUUGGCCUGAGUUU
rnacentral:lncRNA from 1 species